UUAUAUUUUAUUUAUUUUCUAAUUUUUUUUUUAGUAUAAAUUAUUAAAAGUAAUUAUUACAAUAAUUGUUUAAGUAUUUUAUAAAGAAAAAAUAAUUUUAAUUAUAGUUAAAUAGUACUGUGAAGGAAAAUUGAAAUAAUAUGAAAAAUUAAUAUUUUAAAAGAAAAUUUAAUUUAUUGUACCUUGUGUAUCAGGGUUUAUUAAAUAAAAAUUAUUUAUUUUAAUUUUCUCGAUUUUAAAAGAGUUAAUAUAUUAUAAAAGUUAAUGUGAUAAAAUUAUUUUGUAUAUUAUAUUAGAAAUGAAAUGUUAUUCGUUUUUAAAGGUAUCUAGUUCUUUAAGAAAUAAAUUUAAUUUAUAAAUUUUAUAUUAUUUAGUUAAAUGUAUUAAUUAAAUAAUUAUUUUAUUUUAAUAUUUUAUGGGAUAAGCUAUGAAAUAAAUUUUUAAAAAUUAUUAAAUAAAUUAAUAAAUAUAAGCUUAGAAAUAGUUAUUAUUAGUAAAAUUGUUAUAAUUUAUUUUAUUAUAUUAAUUAUUUAUUAAAUUUUAAUUAUGUAUUAAAGUAUUUAUUUUAAUUAUUGAAAUAAAAAAAUAAUGAUAGAAUUAGUAUAUUAUAUUGUAUAAAUAUUAAUAAUUGAUAAGUUUUUUUAAAGAAUUCGGCAAAAAUAAUGUUCGCCUGUUUAACAAAAACAUGUCUUUUUGAAUUUUUUUUUAAGUCUGACCUGCCCACUGAAUAAUUUAAAUGGCCGCAGUAUAUUAACUGUGCAAAGGUAGCAUAAUCAUUAGUCUUUUAAUUGAAGGCUGGUAUGAAUGGUUGGACGAGAUAUUAACUGUUUCAUAAAAAUUUAUAAUAAAAUUUUAUUUUUUAGUCAAAAAGCUAAAAUAUAAUUAAAAGACGAGAAGACCCUAUAAAUCUUUAUAUAUAUAAAUUAUUAGAAUUUUUUAGAUUUUUUUUAUUAUAAUAAUUAAUUAUAUUUUAUUGGGGUGAUAUUAAAAUUUAAUAAACUUUUAAUUUUUAAAAUCAUUGAUUUAUGAAUAGUUGAUCCGUUAAUAGCGAUUAAAAAAAUAAGUUACUUUAGGGAUAACAGCGUAAUUUUUUUGGAGAGUUCAUAUCGAUAAAAAGGAUUGCGACCUCGAUGUUGGAUUAAGAUAUAAUUUUAGGUGUAGCUGCUUAAAUUUUAAGUCUGUUCGACUUUUAAAUUCUUACAUGAUCUGAGUUCAAACCGGUGUAAGCCAGGUUGGUUUCUAUCUUUAAUAAAUUAAAAUAUUUCAGUACGAAAGGACCUAAUAUUUAAUAAAUAAUUAUUUUUAUAUUGAAUAUAAUUAAUUUAU
rnacentral:rRNA from 1 species